rnacentral:lncRNA from 1 species
GCCGGGCGCUGGACUAUGACGUCACGCGUCCCCACGUCUAUAUUUCAGCAAUGGGCGGGGCUCCAAGUGUCCACGCUCUGAGGAGAGUUGGCGACAGGUCCUAGGCCGUGAGUUAACACUGGGGAUUUGGACCCAGGACUUUGUCCUGUGUGACAGCCAAGCACUCUACUACUGAGCUACACUCCCUGCCCAACCUCAAGUACUUCGUUAAUGUCUUCAGAAGAUUGGCCUGCUUUGGAAUAUCAAAUACCUCCUCUUUGGAGGGGAAGGAAGAUGAAAGCAAUGACAUCCACACUCCCCCAGAGCAUCUCCCCAGCACAGCCUGAGCUCUUGCAAUGGGGUUUUGUCGGGAGAGCUCAUCACCUGGAGUGGUCAGGAGGGCUCAGUCACUGUGCGGUCACUGGGGGAGAAGACCUCGUGGCUUCAGCCUAGCCUGCUGAGGAAGCUCUUGGAGUCAGGGUGUCAGAGGGCUGAGACCCCACAGGAAGUGCAGAGCCGGAUGGGAAGGAGAGGUGACCACAUCCUGCAUUUCUCUGUGGUUCCCCCAGGAACCAGUACUAGGAAUUGAGCUCAGGACCUUGUGCUUGCCAGCAGCAGGCCAGAGUUUGAUUCCUGGCACACCCCUACCCCCAUUGCAGUAAUUAUGAGGCUAAUGGUUGCCAUAUUGGCCAAUGCAGUUCCAAUAAAUCCACCCUCAGCACCCUCCAUGGAGAACACACAAGGAAAGGUCAUCCCGAGGUCAAACAGGUGCGGUGCAUGGAGGCCCAGGCCUGUAACUCUAGCACCCUGGAGGCUGAGGCAGGAGGAUCCUCAUGAGUUUGAGGCCAGCCUGGGCUACGUAGUGAAUACAAGGCUAGUCUGAACUACAUAGAGACCUUGUCUCAACAAAACAAAACAAAAACCAAGGUCAAGCAGUGGGCGUGUCAGAGGCCAUGUCUUACUUGAGCAGGUAGGGCCUUUGGUGGACACAAAGGUGAGAGGUCGCCAACAGUACUCCUGAUGUGCUCCACAUCUGGACAGUGGCUGGGAG